rnacentral:rRNA from 1 species
AACGGGUGAGUAACACGUGGGUGACCAGCCCUUAGCUCCGGGAUAAGCCUGGGAAACUGGGUCUAAUACCAGGAUAUGACCACAGGUUGCAUGGUUUGUGGUGGAAAGUUUUUCGGCUAGGGAUGGGCCCGCGGCCUAUCAGCUUGUUGGUGGGGUGAUGGCCUACCAAGGCGACGACGGGUAGCCGGCCUGAGAGGGCGACCGGCCACACUGGGACUGAGACACGGCCCAGACUCCUACGGGAGGCAGCAGUGGGGAAUAUUGCGCAAUGGGCGGAAGCCUGACGCAGCGACGCCGCGUGGGGGAUGACGGCCUUCGGGUCGUAAACCUCUUUCGGCCCCGACGAAGCCGUGAGGUGACGGUAGGGGUGGAAGAAGCACCGGCCAACUACGUGCCAGCAGCCGCGGUAACACGUACGGUGCGAGCGUUGUCCGGAAUUAUUGGGCGUAAAGAGCUCGU